GGCAACGCGCUCGUUGCCUUCCGCCGUGAUUUGGCUGCGCGGUCAAGCUCGAGGCUUACGAGACGCCGAAGCAUCAUCGAAGGUAGAAAGCUCGCACUGGAGGCCAAGCGAUCGUUGUCGUCUUGUUUGUGACCAUAGCGACGGCACCGGGAUCGGGUGACGCGGAGAUUUCGGCCACAGACGAACAGCCUUCUACCGCGGACGGAAUUCGGAGGCUUCCUGGUGGCUGCUGCCGGUCGUGGUGCUCGGGGUCUGCGCCGGACUCGUGUUGCUCGCCGUUGCCGCCCUGGGCACGACGUACACCUAUAAGAUCGUCGUCUCUCGCA